rnacentral:rRNA from 1 species
UUAAGCGAAUAAGCGUACACGGUGGAUGCCUAGGCAAUCAGAGGCGAUGAAGGACGUGCUAAUCUGCGAAAAGCGUCGGUAAGGUGAUAUGAACCGUUAUACCCGACGAUAUCCGAAUGGGGAAACCCAGUAUCCAAUGGAUACUAUCAUUAACUGAAUCCAUAGGUUAAUGAGGCGAACCGGGAGAACUGAAACAUCUCAGUACCCCGAGGAAAAGAAAUCAACCGAGAUUCCCCUAGUAGCGGCGAGCGAACGGGGAGCAGCCCAGAGUCUUAAUCAAUAGCAGUGUCAGGAGAACGGUCUGGAAAGUCCGGCAGUAAAGGGUGAUAGCCCCGUAUCUGAAGAUGUUGUUAUUGUGAACUCGACGAGUAGGGCGGGACACGUGUUAUCCUGUCUGAAUAUGGGGGGACCAUCCUCCAAGGCUAAAUACUCCUGAUUGACCGAUAGUGAACCAGUACCGUGAGGGAAAGGCGAAAAGAACCCCGGCGAGGGGAGUGAAAAAGAACCUGAAACCGUGUACGUACAAGCAGUAGGAGCCUCUUUAUGGGGUGACUGCGUACCUUUUGUAUAAUGGGUCAGCGACUUAUAUUCUGUAGCAAGGUUAACCGUAUAGGGGAGCCGUAGGGAAACCGAGUCUUAACUGGGCGAAUGAGUUGCAGGGUAUAGACCCGAAACCCGGUGAUCUAUCCAUGGGCAGGUUGAAGGUUGGGUAACACUAACUGGAGGACCGAACCGACUAAUGUUGAAAAAUUAGCGGAUGACUUGUGGAUGGGGGUGAAAGGCCAAUCAAACCGGGAGAUAGCUGGUUCUCCCCGAAAGCUAUUUAGGUAGCGCCUCGUGAACUCAUCUUCGGGGGUAGAGCACUGUUUCGACUAGGGGGUCAUCCCGACUUACCAACUCGAUGCAAACUGCGAAUACCGAAGAAUGUUAUCACGGGAGACACACGGCGGGUGCUAACGUCCGUCGUGAAGAGGGAAACAACCCAGACCGCCAGCUAAGGUCCCAAAGUCAUGGUUAAGUGGGAAACGAAGUGGGAAGGCUCAGACAGCCAGGAUGUUGGCUUAGAAGCAGCCAUCAUUUAAAGAAAGCGUAAUAGCUCACUGGUCGAGUCGGCCCGCGCGGAAGAUGUAACGGGGCUAAACCAUGCACCGAAGCUGCGGCAGCGACACAAAGUGUUGUUGGGUAGGGGAGCGUUCUGUAAGCCUGCGAAGGUGUACUGUGAGGUAUGCUGGAGGUAUCAGAAGUGCGAAUGCUGACAUAAGUAACGAUAAUGCGGGUGAAAAACCCGCACGCCGGAAGACCAAGGGUUCCUGUCCAACGUUAAUCGGGGCAGGGUGAGUCGACCCCUAAGGCGAGGCUGAAAAGCGUAGUCGAUGGGAAACGGGUUAAUAUUCCCGUACUGGUGGUAACUGCGAUGGGGGAACGGAGAAGGCUAGGUUGUCCGGGCGACGGUCGUCCCGGUUCAAGCAGGUAGGCAGAGUGAUUAGGCAAAUCCGGUCACUUAAUGCUGAGAUGUGAUGACGAACCACUAAGGUGGUGAAGCAAUUGAUGCCCCGCUUCCAGGAAAAGCCUCUAAGCUUCAGGUUACCAACAAUCGUACCCCAAACCGACACAGGUGGUCAGGUAGAGAAUACUCAGGCGCUUGAGAGAACUCGGGUGAAGGAACUAGGCAAAAUGGUGCCGUAACUUCGGGAGAAGGCACGCUGGCGGUAGGUAAAGUCCCUUGCGGACGGCGCUGAAGCCAGUCGAAGAUACCAGCUGGCUGCAACUGUUUAUUAAAAACACAGCACUGUGCAAACACGAAAGUGGACGUAUACGGUGUGACGCCUGCCCGGUGCUGGAAGGUUAAUUGAUGGGGUCAGCCGCAAGGCGAAGCUCCUGAUCGAAGCCCCAGUAAACGGCGGCCGUAACUAUAACGGUCCUAAGGUAGCGAAAUUCCUUGUCGGGUAAGUUCCGACCUGCACGAAUGGCGUAAUGAUGGCCAGGCUGUCUCCACCCGAGACUCAGUGAAAUUGAACUCGCUGUGAAGAUGCAGUGUACCCGCGGCAAGACGGAAAGACCCCGUGAACCUUUACUAUAGCUUGACACUGAACAUUGAGCCUUGAUGUGUAGGAUAGGUGGGAGGCUUUGAAGUGUGGACGCCAGUCUGCAUGGAGCCAACCUUGAAAUACCACCCUUUAACGUUUGAUGUUCUAACCUAGGCCCAUAAACUGGGUCGGGGACCGUGUCUGGUGGGUAGUUUGACUGGGGCGGUCUCCUCCUAAAGAGUAACGGAGGAGCACGAAGGUUGGCUAAGCAUGGUCGGACAUCAUGCGGUUAGUGCAAAGGCAUAAGCCAGCUUGACUGCGAGAGUGACGGCUCGAGCAGGUACGAAAGUAGGUCUUAGUGAUCCGGUGGUUCUGAAUGGAAGGGCCAUCGCUCAACGGAUAAAAGGUACUCCGGGGAUAACAGGCUGAUACCGCCCAAGAGUUCAUAUCGACGGCGGUGUUUGGCACCUCGAUGUCGGCUCAUCACAUCCUGGGGCUGAAGUAGGUCCCAAGGGUAUGGCUGUUCGCCAUUUAAAGUGGUACGCGAGCUGGGUUUAGAACGUCGUGAGACAGUUCGGUCCCUAUCUGCCGUGGGCGUUGGAAGAUUGAGAGGGGUUGCUCCUAGUACGAGAGGACCGGAGUGAACGCACCACUGGUGUUCGGGUUGUCAUGCCAAUGGCAUUGCCCGGUAGCUAAGUGCGGAAGAGAUAACCGCUGAAAGCAUCUAAGCGGGAAACUUGCCUCGAGAUGAGUCUUCCCUGUCGCUUUAAGCGACCUAAAGGAACGUUUAAGACUAAGACGUUGAUAGGCUGGGUGUGUAAGCGUAGCGAUACGUUGAGCUAACCAGUACUAAUGAACCGUGAGGCUUAACCUG